UUAUAUUCUCCGCCGGGGGGGAUGAGAAUCCCCGACCGGGGUUCGACAACUGGCGCAGCCACCUGGACAGACCGUGAGCCUGCGAGCGGGCUGCCCCGCAGGGGCGAGCGAAGCGAGUCAAUCCCCCCCUCACCGCCA
rnacentral:sRNA from 1 species